UCCAGACUCCUACGGGAGGCAGCAGUGGGGAAUAUUGGGCAAUGGGCGCAAGCCUGACCCAGCAACGCCGCGUGAAGGAAGAAGGCCCUCGGGUUGUAAACUUCUUUUGUCAGGGACGAAGAAAGUGACGGUACCUGACGAAUAAGCCACGGCUAACUACGUGCCAGCAGCCGCGGUAAUACGUAGGUGGCAAGCGUUAUCCGGAUUUACUGGGUGUAAAGGGCGUGUAGGCGGGACUGCAAGUCAGAUGUGAAAUUCCAGGGCUCAACCCUGGAACUGCAUUUGAAACUGUGUUUCUUGAGUACUGGAGAGGCAGACGGAAUUCCUAGUGUAGCGGUGAAAUGCGUAGAUAUUAGGAGGAACACCAGUGGCGAAGGCGGUCUGCUGGACAGCAACUGACGCUGAGGCGCGAAAGCGUGGGGAGCAAACAGGAUUAGAUACCCCCGUA
rnacentral:rRNA from 1 species